UACGAGGGGGGCAAAUGUUGUUCGGAAUCACUGGGCGUAAAGGGAGCGUAGGCGGGUUUGCAAGUUGGGUGUGAAAGCCCUCGGCUCAACCGAGGAAUUGCGCUCAAUACUGCCGAGCUCGAGAGAGACAGAGGUAAGCGGAACUAAUGGUGGAGCGGUGAAAUGCGUUGAUAUCAUUAGGAACACCGGUGGCGAAGGCGGCUUACUGGGUCUUUUCUGACGCUGAGGCACGAAAGCCAGGGGAGCGAACGGG
rnacentral:rRNA from 1 species